CCUACGGGGGGCAGCAGUGAGGAAUAUUGGUCAAUGGGCGGGAGCCUGAACCAGCCAAGUCGCGUGAGGGAAGAAGGUACUGAGUAUUGUAAACCUCUUUUGCCAGGGGACAAAGGCGGCCACGGGUGGCCGUAAGAGGGUACCUGGAGAAAAAGCAUCGGCUAACUCCGUGCCAGCAGCCGCGGUAAUACGGAGGAUGCGAGCGUUAUCCGGAUUUAUUGGGUUUAAAGGGUGCGCAGGCGGCGUGUCCAGUCAGCGGUAAAAUGUCGGGGCUCAACCCCGGCCGGCCGUUGAAACUGGGUUGUUCGAGGUGGAAGGAAGUAUGCGGAACUCGUGGUGUACGGGUGAAAUGCA
rnacentral:rRNA from 1 species